rnacentral:ribozyme from 1 species
UGCUCAGCAACUCCUAUCCCUACCUCCACGCGGUACCGGCCGGAAACUAUGAGCAACCUUAGGGAAGA